rnacentral:rRNA from 1 species
UACAGAGGUCUCAAGCGUUGUUCGGAUUCAUUGGGCGUAAAGGGUGCGUAGGUGGCAUGGUAAGUCGGAUGUGAAAUCCCGGGGCUCAACCCCGGAACUGCAUUCGAUACUGCUGAGCUAGAGUACUGGAGAGGAGAUUGGAAUUUACGGUGUAGCAGUGAAAUGCGUAGAUAUCGUAAGGAAGACCAGUGGCGAAGGCGGAUCUCUGGACAGUUACUGACACUGAGGCACGAAGCCAGGGGAGCGAAACGGG